UACGUGGGGUGCAAGCGUUGUCCGGAAUUAUUGGGCGUAAAGAGCGUGUAGGCGGCCGUACAGGUCAGCUGUGAAAACUCGAGGCUCAACCUCGAGACGUCGGUUGAAACCGUACGGCUAGAGUCCGGAAGAGGAGAGUGGAAUUCCCGGUGUAGCGGUGAAAUGCGCAGAUAUCGGGAAGAACACCCGUGGCGAAGGCGGCUCUCUGGGACGGUACUGACGCUGAGACGCGAAAGCGUGGGGAGCAAACAGG
rnacentral:rRNA from 1 species